CCCCCCCCCCCCCCCCCCCCCCCCCCCCCCCCCCCCCCCCCCCCCCCCCCCCCCCCCCCCCCCCCCCCCCCAGCUGCCACCUGUCCCACGGCUCUGGUUUGGAGGCACUGGCUCCGUCCUCCUCCUCUUCCCCCAGGAGGGAGCCAGAGGAGCAGGUGGGGAUAUUUUCUGGUUUGACUGUUUUCUGGUUUGACUGUUUUCUGGUUUGACUGUUUUCUGGUUUGAAUAUUCUCUGGGAUAUUUUCUGGUUUGACUGUUUUCUGGUUUGAGUGUUUUCUGGUUUGAAUAUUCUCUCGAAUUUGAAGCUCGUCCCCCAGGUCCCAUCUUGCGUCCCGGGACCUCAGCACGUGCUCCUGUUACCCCUGGAGACCACGGCUGGUGGCAGGUGUGAGGAGCUCUGUGUGUCACAGAGCUUUGGCUGUUUAGAAUCCCAGAAUCGCUGAGGCUGGAAAAGAGCUCCAAGAUCAUCAGAUCCCAUCAUCCGAUCUCCACCUUGUGCCCAGCCCAGAGCGCUGGGUGCCACAUCCUUGGACACCUGCAGGGAUGGGCACUCUGCACCUCCCCGCCAAGCCUGAGCACGCUGCAGGUGCAGAGGCAGGUGGGAACUGUGCAGCCAGGGAGCCACUGAGGCUGGAAAAGCCCUCUCAGACUGAGCCCAGCCAUCCCCAGCACUGCCCAGGCCAGCACUGCCCCAUAAAGCCCGUCCACAGGGCUUUAAAUCCCUCCAGGGAUGGGGAAUCCACCCCUGCCCUGGGCAGAGGAGAAGAGAAGAGAAGAGAAGAGAAGAGAAGAGAAGAGAAGAGAAGAGAAGAGAAGAGAAGAGAAGAGAAGAGAAGAGAAGAGAAGAGAAGAGAAGAGAAGAGAAGAGAAGAGAAGAGAAGAGAAGAGAAGAGAAGAGAAGAGAAGAGAAGAGAAGAGAAGAGAAGAGAAGAGAAGAGAAGAGAAGAGAAGAGAAGAGAAGAGAAGAGAAGAGAAGAGAAGAGAAGAGAAGAGAAGAGAAGAGAAGAGAAGAGAAGAGAAGAGAAGAGAAGAGAAGAGAAGAGAAGAGAAGAGAAGAGAAGAGAAGAGAAGAGAAGAGAAGAGAAGAGAAGAGA
rnacentral:lncRNA from 1 species